GCGUGAUGUGCAGCAUUACCAGAUGAGACUUCCUCUUUACUGGGGAUCUUUCCUGAGCCUUGGGGGAGCUGCUCACCAUGAAUCCCAGGCUUCUGUUUGUCCUUGCUGCCUUUCUGAAUUCAGGAGCAGUUUGGUUUGACAGUUCUGAUUCUAGGAUUUUCAUGAGGUUGGCGUCAGAUCUCAGCUGGAGCUGCAGGCAUCUGAUGGUUUGAAGUUGGAGGAUCCAUCCCCAAGGUACCUCACCAAAAGAUUGUCAAGCUCAAACGCAGUGGCUGAUCCUCACUGACUCCUCUUCCUAAGGUUGUUGUACUAGGAGCAUCUCCUAACACUACACGGACACAAUUCAAUGACAAAAAUCAGAGAAGGUCUACAGACUGUACAAGAAACAUGGAAUCAGCAUCUCUAUCUGAUGAAGGCCUUAGGAAUCUUCCACUCAUGGAGGAAGGAAAACAAAACAAAACUUCUGGAAUGCCUCUUCAUCUGUACUUAACAUCUGAAGCCUCUUCCACCUGAAUGAUGAAGAUGUCAAAUAUUCUCAGCCUCAAAUUAAUGUGUCAAGUACAUUGGAUUUGUAUCUUUGUGUUCUUUCCUAUCUUCUUAAAAAAUUGUGCUAAUUACAUUUUCAAAAAUUGUUGUUUUUCUAACAUAUUGGUUACAAUAUCAAUAUAUGUGGCUUAAUAAAAUAGUCUCUGAGAACAUGUGCUUUUCUGAAUGUGUCAGGUGGCAGCUUGCUUUUAACAAUAUUGUAAGUUUUUAUAAUCAGAUUUAAAUUGUGUUUAUCUAAAAUAUUUAUGAACAUUGAAUUUAUGGUGAACAAAGCAGAGUCUUCUUUCAAAUCGCAUGUAGUUAUGUUUCAAAUAUGUGAAAUUUUUGAAUACUUCAUUAAAAUUUUAUUUUAAUAGAACACAUUAAAU
rnacentral:lncRNA from 1 species